ACAGUAGUCUACUUAGUUCAGUUUUAAGUCUCUUGGUUUUUCUUCCCUGCCAUCUCCCCAGACUAGACACUCAAUGUAGCAUUCAAAGAAUAUUACCAUGAAUCAUUAUAUAAUAAAUGGCCAAUAGCAGUAUUUUUUUCUGAAAGUCAUUUAAAGUUGCAUGAGAGAUUUGAAUUUAUACAAGCAUGAUUGCCCAGGAAAGCUGGCAGUAGUCAGUAGGAGCAAUAGUGUGAUGUCAAGUAUGUGAUCAAACAUACGAAUAUCUGUGGAGCUCCCAGCAGCAAGAGAAGGAUCCAUUUUGUAUGUUUCCUGUGUGGAGAGGUGCUUUUGUGUUCUCUAAUAGUGCUGCAUUUCUGAUAUUAAAAGAUAAUGUAUCUGUUCUUAGCAUUGCUCAGACAGUUUAAUUACCACCUAAGUUCAGAUAUUAUGCCUUGUCAGAUCUUUAAAAGCACAGUCUUCCAGACGCUGAGAUAUCUGCCUGUUAUGGGUUGCUGAUAGCCUACUCUAAGAAGUGUUUGUGCUUUAGAGGAACAGAAACUGUACUCAUUACAGGCAGCAGAAGAUACUUAGCCAGAAAUUGGGAAAGGGAGAUGCAUGUAGAAUGUAGGCAGAAGGAAUAUAAGCUUUUUGGUGACUCAACACCACUCUAACUUGGAGGGACUGGUGGCUUGUGUCCAGGUCUACUCAGGGUUUUGGAUUUUAAUAAUGUAUUUGGUAUUUGGUGAUCCUUUUGUUUCUUGAUCAUAUUACUGUAGUAUCUUUGCCCUAUUGCUUUCUCCUCCCCACCCAGGUGCCCAAUAUAGAGUUUCCAGCAGAAGCAGCAAAGAGAAAAUUAUUUGUGGUUGUUAUCUUUAAUCCUAUGCCUAAAGUAUUUCAAUUAGUCACUAAACACAUAAUACAAAGCCAGGGGAGAAAUGUGGAUCCCUUACAAAGGUAGGACAGAGCAAGAGCUUCUUUUAGUCUUGGGCAGAGAAUGGAUCAGAUGAGCCAGUUAUUGCCAUUGACUGUGGGGUUCCCAGACAAAUAACCUUCAAACUGAGACAGCUAUUGUGUGCUGGAAGGCAGGCAAGUUGGAUACCAUGGCCUUCACCCUUCCUCUCUCCCCACAGGGACUGAUUACAGAUGUGUAACUACACUGUUGCUCCCCUCCCUCGGGAACUUGAGACCAUGGGCUGUUUUCCCAUGCCUUCCAUUUCUCCUUUUCAAUCAAACACAGAAUCUACAAGCAUUAUUGAUUAGAAACGUGGACAUUUUUCUUCAGUCACUCUAGCUACUAGGCUUGAUAGCUCAUCUUUGGUAUGUUAAAAAACACCCACCCCACACACCCUGUGCUAUUCCAGUUGACAGUCACUUGUAGUGCUGUAGUCUGGAUUUCUUUCUAUGUAGAGAAGUAUUUUGUAGGAGAUGGCUGGAAAAAUCUUGUGGGUAGAAAUUGGCUUUUUCACUUUUCUCUUGUUUCCUCUGUUGGAAUAAUUCCAAAGAAAAUGCAUUGGUCAUGCAACUCUCUUUGCAUCACUCUUGGUGAGAUUGAUUUGGCAUUAAAAUAUAUUUUGUGUAGCUCACUGAUGUUUGUUGUCUCAGUAUGAACAUAAUGUUCUUGGAGACAUAACAUGUUUAAAUCUUUCCACUUCUUCUUAAGGCCAUAUCAUACUCUAGAAGAGAAAUUCAGGAUUCAGAUUCCAUUCAGUUCCUAUUAAGGGCAAAAAUACCUUGUUAUUAUUUUAUUGAGGUAAAUCAAAAGUCAAAGACGGCCAAAGAUGGUUAAGAUCUGCAAGAAAUUGUAACAAACUCUCUUGAACAUUAACAGCAGUGCAUUUUGUCAGAUGGAUAUUCACUUUGAAAGAUGCUUCUUGAAGGAACAGCUUGUUGGUAAUUUUUUUUCUUGAAGGAUUGGCAAAUAAGCUCUGGCAAUUUUAAGAGGUUUGCAACCCUGAUCAGUAAAUUGGUGGAAGCAAACUUAUCCGAGCUCCUGGACUACAGUUGUUUACAAUCCGUCAUAUUAUCUUAUACCAGCACUGACUUCACUUUACAUGGCUAUGUAGAACAUACUGAUGUAAAGUCAGUCCUUCUGUCAAGUUUGUUAUAUAGAACGUAGGCUCUUUUAUGAAGAUGCAGCAAAUACUUAGGACUGAUAGACUCUUAUUCUCCUAAAAAAUGCCCCUGUGUGUUCCUUCUUCUGCAGUAGUGUAGAGAUGGCCUGUUUCACUGUUAAUUUAGUAGACAGAUUUGCUGCAUUCUUAACAAGUCCAUGGAUGACAGCAACUUUGUGGGGGCAGUCAGUGCACUGGAGGGCUGGGCUGCCUUCGGGUGGGACCUACUCAGAAUGUAUGCUUACAGGAACUUCAUGAAGCAAGGCAAAUGCAGAAUUCUGUGUUUAGGAUGACAUAAACUCACACCGCAGGAUCAUGUGGGCUCUGACUUCCCAGAAAUCAGCUUUGCAGAAAAGGCCUUGUGCUUCUGGUUGGGGACAGGUUGAAGACUGCAGUGUGCCCUUUUAACAAAGAAGGCUGUUUGCAUGGUGGGCUGUUAUGGCAAGAGCACAGCCAUCAGGUUGUGGAAAAUCAUUCUUACCCUCUGGCUGUCAUUUGAGAUCACAUCUGGAAUAUUGUGUCUGGCAUUGGAGUCUGCAGUGCAAGAAAGACUUUAACAGUCACAGUGAGUCUGGCAGAGCACCACCAAGCCAGUCCCAAGCAAGCCUCCAAGCAAGCCUCAGGCUUCCUGAGUGAUGUGAAAGGAGAAGCUGAGGGACCUGGACUCAUUCAGCUUGAAGAGAGGACUGUCUGCAACCAUCAAAUGGAGUAUGGAGCUGAACUCUUCUUGAAGUUGCAUGAGUGUGCCCACGAAAACGACUGCACUGUGCCCAGUGCACUGAGCUGCAGAGAUACUUCCUACUUGCCCCUCUAUCCAAUUCCCUUUUCUAUGUGUUCUAGCCAUGUGUGCUAGUACCAUGAAUGUCAAGGCUGGAAUUGCAUUCAUCAUCUGUCCUCUGGAAAAUGGGAGGACCAAUCCAUUCCUGUUUCCGUUCCCUUUGGUUCUCCUAAUGUCAUUUUACUUUAUAGUAUUUUUCUGAUAGGGUACUAUGUGAACUAGACUUCUUAAUACUUGGUAGAAAAAAGAUUCUCCUUUCCCAGCCUAAUUGGGAAAAGUCCAGCUAUUUUAACGUUUUCAGAAUCAGAAAUGAACAACUGCUGCAUGUAUCCAUGUGAAUGAAGAACAGGUAUCACUUGUUGGAGGAGAAAGCUGUUCUGGGAAGAUUGUGAAGCAGAUAAAAAGCCCCAUGGACAAUUGUUCAAAAAGAGAAGAUAGUAAGAGUUCGUAAAAACUGUUCUAGUGAACAAGACUGCUGAGAAUGCUGGCUGUAUUCUAUGCUUCUACACUCAUCAGUGUAAAGAUCUGUAGCUCCAUCUCCAGUAAUAUUCAACGUGUCUUAGAUAAAUAGAGAAGGAGCAGCACCAUUUUCUGGACAGCUGAAAGAGCUGGGAAAUAACUUCUGGAUUAAUAGAAUUUACAGCCCUUUUCUUCAGUACUUAGCUCUUUCAUCUCACUGCUUCAUUCUCCAAUGACUGGGGUGUCUCUGACUGUCUAAAGCAUGGCUGAAGAUAGCAAAGACUUGGUUUGCUUUGUGUUAACUCUAUCUAUCUGAAUUCAGGGCAAUCUUCUGUGGCUCUGCAUACUUAUUCAGCUCCCCUCCUUAUUUGCUUGGGGUUUUCCUAAAUGUGAUGAGAUGGAGCUGAAUAUAUGUGUUGCUGGCAUGUAUAGAAUGCAAUAAAUAUACUAUGCUGCUCAAAUACUGUUAAGAUUUUGAAUUUUUGCAGAAUUUCAGCAAAUCUGUAUAGUACCUAUGUCAAGAACUUUCAGUUCAUAUGUCAAAAUGUUCCAUGUACAGUUUCUUUAGCAUUUUAACCAAAUUAGUAAAUUUUACCUUAAUUUUGUAGAUAAGAAAACUGUACAGGAAGAAGUGAUUUUCUUAGUCUCUGGGAAGCUGAGAAUGAAACCUGAAUUUGUUCUUCUUGUUCCUUAUUCACUGAAUGGUACUAUUUUCCUUAAAUAGUAAAUUUUUUUCCCUAAAGUUUUAUAAAUAAUUUGCAUAGCCUACUAAAUAUGCAUGCUCUAAAAUACUCAAACAGUUCCUUUUCAUCUGGCACAGCAUGGAACUAGCAGUUUUAUCCUUAAUCUACCCACAAAAUGUGUGACUAUGGUGUUCAAUUUAUACUGGGACCUAUUCCUAGACUGCAUUAUGGUUUAUAAAAAAUUGUUGGCAUUAAUUAAUGAAAUUAAUCACUUGUAGAGAAGAAAAAAGGGCAGCUAAGAUGUUACAGUGUACUAGUUCAUUCAAGCACUUUUAACUUUCUUACUUAUCAAGAAAUCCAAAACAAAGUACCUUCAGCUAUGCAAAAAUACAAACAAGCUUUUUCUUUUUAAAUAGUGCCUUCAUUGGCCUGAGUUGCUUGUUUGGUUUUGUUUUUGGUUUUUGUCUUGUUUUGUUUUCUGAAAAUAUUUUGAGAGGAUGCCAUAGUUUGUGACUUGCUCUGUCUGAGCUGCUGGAUUAGUCCAAGUGCUCAGUGUAGAGGAGGGUGAAUUGGGUGAUAAAAUUCUUGAUUUGAACACUGCAGUGCAAGUCGUCAGAUCUGCCUUUCUACUUUUUUGGGGUGUAAAAAAUAAAAAAGGUCUUCAAGGACUGGAGGGAGGUACAGUGUUUCUCUUUGCUGCCAAAUUGCAGGUUGUAUCUUUUGAUACGUUGCUUCUGUGACAGGAUUACAAAAGGAAGCAUAAAGAAACUGAUCCAAUCUGUUCUGAGGCCUUGGAAAGCUCGUGGAUAUUUAUUAUCCACCAUACUCUGAAGAAAAAAAAAACAGAACACCAAAGGGCUGUUUCUUGUUUUGAUCUUAAUUUAAAUAUUGCUGCAUUUUGCAUUCACCUUUGUACAUAUGAUCCAUAGCUAUUUACUUAAUAUUUAAUAAUUGCAUGCAGAGGCUGAAAUGUUACUUACAGUAUGUAGUUCAAAUAUUUACACUCAAAGUCAGUCUUUUGACUUGUGUUUUAUAGGAACUAUCAAUGUAGUAGUUUUUCAUUUGUUAGACUCAUAUUUUACAGAUAGACUUAUUAACACACAGAGAUUAGUGUUUAUGGAUUUUGAAUGAUUCAUUUUUAAUUUCACAUCUUCUUUUCAAACCUUUUGUCCUGGUGUUUUUAAGACUGGACUGAUGCUUUAUGUUAUCUGGACUCCAGUGAGAUCUAUAAAAUCAAAUCUCUUUGAUUUUUUCCUCCCCACUCCUACUGUGGAAUUUUGUCUUCUGCAACCGUUAGUAUCUGGCUGUUCUGUAAAGUGACAGUCUUGGGCACCUCACAGCCUGGCUCUUGUGAAGCUGGUAAGGCAUGUGGAAAACACAAAGGCCACAUGAUCUAGAGAGUUAGAACAUCUUCUGAGACAGGGAGAAGCAAGGACGGUUUACAUAGUGGACAGAGGAACAGAUAUGUGACAGGGCUGCCUGCAGAGGAGGAAGGAGGGAAGAAGUGGUGCCAGAAAAAAAUUUUCAUCUUAAACAACCUUCUCAGUUCUGAGGUCAACGGUAUUUUACCCUUGCAUUUUUGACUAUUAAUGGGUUGGGUUUCUAUAACACAACAGCCAAAGAAAUUGUUAAUUUUUUCUUUCUUGUGUUUUCCAUUCUAUUGAACAAUGUAGCGUAGACACCUAAACUUGUAAUUGCAUCCACUUUGUAUAGCUUUGGCUUCCCAUUCCCCUCAGUUCCCAGAUUCUUAUGACUGCAUAGACCAUGAUCAUUAGCUGCUUUGAGACAAAGACUACAGAUCAACUUGCUUAUUUUGUUUAAAACUGCAAAGGAAUUGCCAUGACAGACUGGAGUUCUUAACCCAUCCUAUGUUAACCUAUCCUAUGACCCAGUGAUCAACAGUGGAGAUUCCAGAGGAAGAUGCAAGAAGCUUGAUUUCAAACUGAAAGAGGGCAGGUAUAGAUGUCAGGAAGAAAUUCUUGACUCAGGGAAGUGAGGCACUGGAACCCAGAGAAGUUGUGGAUGCCCCAUCCCUGCAACUAUUCCAAGGCCUGGUUGGAUGGGGCUCUGAGAAACCUGGUCUAGUAGGUUGCUCUAGUGUUGGACACUUGGAGGUGUCCCUGCCCAUGAAAGAGGGUGGAAUGAACUUUAAGUUUCCUUCCUACUCCAAGCUGUUCUGUGAUUCUAUGAUGGUUCUAAACUAUGUGUUCUUUGGUUAGAGUUUGGGUUAAACUCUGGAACAUGAUAUUUAAUAGAUCUUGGAAAAUUAUUAGAACUCUGGAUAUUUUUGUUACACCAUAUAAAUGUCUAAUCCUUUUUCCAUCCUUUCUAAGUCCUCAGCUGUAAUGAUAUUUUGUAGCAGUUAGUUCCACUGUCUAAUUAUGAAUUGUAUGAUAGAGUAUUGCCUAUUUAUAAUGUUUAAAUUUCUUUGGAAGUCCCUUGUGUUAAGACUUGGAGAGAACAGAAGCUUUCCUUACUUUUCUGCCUUAAGGGCCUUGUGACUAAUUUGUUCAUUUCAGGGAUUUGCCUCACAGAAGAGAAACUCAGCUGCACAAUAUUCAACUUAGAGUUUCUGAGAGGUUUUUGCAGGCUAAUUACAAAGCCAUUGUAAUGUGCCUUGAGAUUCCAGUGUCAUUGAUCUUUUACAGUUGGGAGAAUAUGCUUCUAAGAUUUUGGGCAGUAGCAGAUUUAAUUUUAUUUCCAGAAUGAUGUUCAGUGCCACAACUUGCUCCACUUAAGUGGAGUGCUGUACUUGCAUUGCUGUACUGUGAAAAACACCAGUAGCAAAUCAAUGGAUGACUUCUGAAUGUGGAUGUCAAGAGUGCAGUGGAUAUGCAGUGUCACAACCCAAGUCAAUGCAGUGUGUUUGACUCUGGGCAUAUGCAUCUCACUGAAAGCAUGGUCAUAGAAAUGCUAAUUCAUUUGUCUCAAAAUACUUAUUUUUUUUUUAAUUUAUUUUGUUUAUUUUCUAAUAAAUAUUUUCUAAAAUAUGAUCCCAGGUUAGACAGACCUGAUUAGACUGUAAAGAAUAAGUGUAUUAUCACGGUUAUCCUAAACUUUUUAUAUGAUUUGGUAGUUGUCUCCUGGGAGUAUUUCUUCUGCAUUAUUUGGAUUGAUUUCAGGAUAUUUUGUUCCUAUUGACUUUUCUGCUGCUGCUAGUCACUUAAAGAAACGGCACUUUGAACAAAGAGCAUCUAGAUUAUACUAUUUAUAUACUAAUAGUAUAUCUAGAUGUGCUAUUUAUAUACUGACAACUCAGAACCAUCUCCCUUGAUGAUACAGAUACACAUUUCCACAGAGUAGAUCCCUCCAUGUGCACCAUGUGACAUUCAGGCAGUUGGAAGAACACUUGUCCCAAGAUGCUAGGGAACAGUGAGUGUAUCAUUGCAAAUCUCAUCAUCUCAUACAUAAGUCAACAAAAUGCCAACAAAAUUGAGAUGGAUAAUUUAUUUAUGUCUGCUUCUCAGUGAAGAUAAAACUAUGUAAAACCACUUCUUAAACUAGGUCAGUAGAAGGCAAAGAUAUUGUAAAGUCAAAGCACAUUUAAAUUUUCAUCUCUCACAUCCCUGCCCAGUACAUAGAUGGCUGUAGAAGUUCCUUUAAAGAAUGUACUUCUUGCUUACUAAUUGCAAAUAUCCUUUCAUCCUCUCUGGAGAUAUAAACAGUGAGCUGUUGGGCCCUAAACACCUUUUGUGUCUUGAUACCUUAUGUGACAAGGUUGGAUUUGAUGUCUACUGUGUUGCUGUGUCCAAAAUUUUAUGAGGGAGGAUAGUGAAUUUAUAAAAUUCUGAGCUAAUGGUGUGUCUGCGUGAUGGAGCAAAUAAAACUGGAGGCAGUUGUAUCUUUUCUGUGAAAAAGA